GAUGAACGCUGGCGGCGUGCCUAAUACAUGCCAGUCGAGCGAACGGACGAGAAGCUUGCUUCUCUGAUGUUAGCGGCGGACGGGUGAGUAACACGUGGAUAACCUACCUAUAAGACUGGGAUAACUUCGGGAAACCGGAGCUAAUACCGGAUGAUAUUUUGAACCGCAUGGUUCAAAAGUGAAAGACGGUCUUGCUGUCACUUAUAGAUGGAUCCGCGCUGCAUUAGCUAGUUGGUAAGGUAACGGCUUACCAAGGCAACGAUGCAUAGCCGACCUGAGAGGUGGAUCGCCCACACGGGAACGGAGACACGUUCCAGACUCCUCCGGGAGGCACAAUUGGGGAACUUUCGGCAAUGGGCGAAAGCCUGACGAAGCACGCCCGCGUGGGUGAGGAGGUCUUCCGGUUGUUAAACCCUGUUAAUUGGGGAGAACAUAUGUGUAAGUAACUGUGCCCAUCUUGGACGUUACUAAUCAAAAAAGCACCGCUAAAUUCCGGG
rnacentral:rRNA from 1 species